AACCUAAGUGUAUGUAAACUUCUGACUUCAACUGUAUGUACACCAUCAAAUGUUUGCAACCAAAUMUUACUCAAAUAUGAUAUUGUGUGUAAUUGCGUUUUGCAGGAAUGCAGUGUAACAUGUUGGGGAAGGUCCAUUAUCAAAUAUGCAAGAAGUUCAUGAAGAUGCAGACAGGUUUCUCUUAUGGAGAUUUUAUCAAUCAAUGUGAAUAUAUGAACUGUCUGAUGUAUAUUCUUAAUUGAACCCUUGGGCUUGAUUUGGGUCAGACCCAUUCUGUUGCCCCUAGAUGGCUUAUCUCUAUGUAUUAUGUGUUCUGAUUUGGUCUAUCUUUUUUGUAAUACAAAAUAGGUUUGGACUGCCCUCUGCAGCACAAAUAUUUUUUUUUUUAUGAUUCCUAAACUGAGGUGGAGGAGGAUGUUCUGCUGGACCUGAUUGAGGCCAAUCCAGACUGUGCCUCACAAUCAAAGUUCUUGAUGAAGACACAUUAUCCUUCUAAAGUUAUUUCGACCUGAGAUCUCCAGAAAGGCCGUCUAAAAAAGCCAGGACAACCUUAGGAGAUGAGGCCAUCGACUUCACAGCAGCAAAAGAGAUGGUCCGAGACACCCUGACUAGUAGACCUGGUGGGCAAGAUGUAUUAGAAGAGUACCAGACAACCAAAACAUUGGACCACCGAACCAGGAGAGAGAUGAUUGCCAUCUUAGUCAGCCACAAUCAUAAUGGUGAAUCAGGACUUUUUGCUGAUGUUCAAUGAUGAAACAUCCUCUAAACUCCUUGAAAAGUGGGACACUGGAUUGAAGCCUAAAGUCAUCAAACUGGUCAAAUCCCUGACUACGACCAUGAUAUGUGUUGCCUCUUGAAGUCUGCAGAAAACUUCCAGAGAAUGACAGCGAAACCAACUGGGACAAUGAUAUGUCCUCCCUGCUGCUUCAUCUCCCACCACCAGCAGGAGGGAAGAGGACCAUGGUCAGUGCCUGUGAUGCUGUGGCAGACUAGUGCACUUUCAUACGUCAUGCUGCAGCAUUGUAGACCAUCUUGAUGGGAGCCAUGGUCGACAGACGUACCUCCUUGCCAUCGGAAGAAGACAGAGCAAGAUUGACAACUACUACAAAGUGGUGGACAAGAGGCUUGUUCCCUGCCAGGCAACUAGUGGUCUGUGUGCUUUUGAUGUACUGUUCAAAGCCCACUUUGUCUUUAACCUGACGUAUGAUGAUGCUCUUGUCAACUUCUACACAUUAGUGCAGACAACCAUCUACAACGUAGAUGUAGGCAAAACAAGAGAGGCCCCUAGCGUGACAGAGUUGAGGACAAAACUUCUUUACUAGAUACAUGUAUGUUACGGGGCUUUUGUUGUCAAGCGUUGUACAGAAACAGCCAGUCAUUGAUAUCUCAUUUGAGAAGUAAGCAUAGCUUCUAUCCCUCCACUACGUUUAGAUUGGUCUGUGCUCAAGAUAAUUGUAGAUGGGAUUUUCAACAUACUCAGGUUUCAGAAGACAUUUCAAUAGUAUUCACAAGGGUAUUGGUCAAGUAGUUGAUGCAUUAAGCUUAGAAGGGCCCUCUCAUGUUGCUGAUUCUCCAGUCCAGUCAGAAGCUCCUAAAAUGGGUGGUGACAUUGGUGUCCCACAUGAUAACACUCAAAGGGAUUGUUUUGAGAAGAAUGGACAGUCUUGCUAAAGAUAUGUGUGCUUCCAUCAUUGCCAAGUUGCAAGCUAGUGGUGUUGCAAAUAGUGUUGUCAACAGUAGUGUGAUUCAGAAGAGCUUACUGCUGGGCUGCACUCCCUAAUUAAACAAGAUGUUCUGUCAGUUAUGCCUAUGGAUAACACCUCUACAUCUGCUGUAAAGGAUCGUUUUGAGAAUUUUUAAAACCUAUUUGCCAGUUUUAACACAGAAGUACAGAAGUACAAGUACUUCAACCAAAAAUGGGGGUUUUGUGGAGCCAGUAGAAGUAGUGUUUGGAGUGAUAGCAGGGUAAAUAAACAAACAGGCWUGUAUGAUCAAGUCCCAGUGAAAGACACUUUUGUAUAUAUUCCUAUACUGGAAACAUUGACGUUCAUGUGUCGCAAUUCUGUAAUCUGUUGGAAAAUGCACCUAGGGAUAAAUCUGUAGAAGACGCGUAUGAAGACUUUUGUGAUGGAAGUUACUUUAAGACUCAUCCCUUGUUCUCAAAACAUAGUACAAUUGGAUCUGUAAAGUAUUUCUAUGGUGACUUAAACUGCCAACCCGCUUGGAUGCAAGCGUGGUGUUCACAAGAUAGGCACCAUUUAUUUUGUCCUCAGGAAUCUGUCGCCCAAGUUUACCUCUGCUGUGAUGAAUAUUAAUUUAGUGUCAUUAUUUCAUUAUCAAGAUCUAAAGAAAUAUGGCUAUGAUGCCAUUUUAGAGCCCUUGGUUAAACUGGAGAGUGAUGGUGUAAAUUUGUCUUUUUCAACUGGCUGUGCCUUUUUUCAACUGGCUGUGCCUUUUUUCAACUGGCUGUGCCUUUUUUCAACUGGCUGUGCCUUUUUUCAACUGGAGACAAUUUGGGGAUGCAUGCAGUCCUUGGUUUCACAGUCCUUCAGUGGUCAUUACUUUUGCUGGUUCUGUUUGAUAGAAAAGUGUAAUGCUCAGACGGUUUACAGAGAGGAUGACCCUAAGAUUGUCUUGGUGGUAAAAAAUCUAUUUGAAAUGCAUUUGAAUCAGUUGCGUUCAGACCCGCAUUUGAAUCCGUUGUAUUCAGACCCACAUCUUUGUAUGGUGGAAAGAGAAUUUCUAAACUAAACUGUUUGCAGCACUUCCAUGUUUGUAGUCAUUUUUCUGUGGACAUAAUGCAUGACAUUCUUCAAGGGGUGGCUCAGUUUGAGUUAAAAUUGUUUUGAAUGUCUCUGAAACAUGCGCUUCUCUAGAAUCUACCUGUUUGACUCUGGGUACUUGGAGUGCAAAAACCGUCCAACUAAAGUCAACCGAGAGAACAAUGGAAAAACAAUGGCACUUAAUUAUAUUCAAACUCUGUGUCUUGUGAGAAACGUUCCACCAGUAAAUGAGAACUGGAAUUUGCUGCUCAUCUUACUGCAAAUAAUUGUUUUCCCCCCCUUUUCUUAGCCAGGGCAUGAAUGUGUAUCUGAAGCAUUUGAUCAUUGAAUGUCACACAUUUUUCAAACUGUUGUACCCACGACUUGAUACCAAAACAUCACUUUGAUACAUUACCCAGCAUACAUAAGGCAAAUCGGUCCUUUAUUACAUAUGUGGAGCAGGAGGAACACCUUCAAGAACAUUUCUAAGUCCCUGGCAAAAAAACACAAAUUUUCUAUCAAUGGGAGACCUCACGAUUGRGACAUACGGAGUAUGGACCGACAAAAUAAUUUUCCCUGAGUGAUUUUACUGGUCAGUGCAGAAAGCCAUUUCCUCUACCAGCUGGGUUAAGAUGGAUGGCACAUAGUGCAGAGGGGGACUGUUAGUUUGCAGUAAGAUGGAGCAUGAAAUGCCAGUCUUGUAAAAUAACUAAGAUCAUUGUGGUUGACAUUAUUGUAUACCUGUUGCUGAACAAGUUGCAUACUGAUAAUUUCUGUGAACAUUACCAUGCAUUCACUGUGUUUGAUGGUGUUGAUGACAAAGUUUAUCUGAAAUGUUAUAAGCCUUUUGUCCUUCAAAGUGCUUAUGGUGCUGAUGAGAGCCUUUGUUUGACAUGAUUGAGUAAUAGUCAGAUUAUUGGAAACUUUGUCAAGAUAAUUGCAUACCUUGUCUUAGGACUUCCACUUGUGUUUAAAUAGCAACUCUGCAAAUACUCUUGUUCUCAUAUAGUACAUGUUCUCAUGCACUGAUUUCUUUUUAAUGUGCCUGUAAUGCACUGAUUUCACAUUAGCCUAAAUAAAUGAAACAAAGCAGUCACACUUCUCUUGUAAGGAAUAAUUUAUUGCUCCUGUUUAAGUCAUCUACAACUUGCAGGCUUGAUUUGAGUGGGAGAGAACCAGACAACAACAACAA